UCGUUCAUGGCUCAGUGGCUAGUGCUUCAGACUGUAGAUCAGAAAAUGAGGGGUUUGAUUCCCCUUCGAA
rnacentral:tRNA from 1 species